GAAACCCAGGAAAAAAUGGCUGCUCGUCCUAUUUCAGCUUCAUCGCGGUGUUGCCAGCUCCCGGGACAAAGUUGAGAAAGGAUUCGGAGAUAUUAAGGCAUGCUUUGAAUGAAUGGAUUUGCCUCAUAAAGAACUUAAUACUUCAGCAAAAGUAAAAUUCAUCAAUAAAAAAUAAGAUUUGAUCAGA